rnacentral:rRNA from 1 species
CCUACGGGUGGCAGCAGUGAGGAAUAUUGGUCAAUGGGCGCGAGCCUGAACCAGCCAAGUAGCGUGAAGGAUGACUGCCCUACGGGUUGUAAACUUCUUUUAUAAAGGAAUAAAGUGAGGCACGUGUGCCUUUUUGUAUGUACUUUAUGAUUAAGGAUCGGCUAACUCCGUGCCAGCAGCCGCGGUAAUACGGAGGAUACGUGCGUUAUCCGGUUUGAUUGGGUUUAAAGGGAGCGUAGAUGGGUUGUUAAGUCAGUUGUGAAAGUUUGCGGCGCAACCGUAAAAUUGCAAUUGAUACUGGCAGUCUUGAGUACAGUUGAGGUAGGCGGAAUUCGAGGUGUAGCGGUGAAAUGCUUAGAUAUCACGAAGAACUCCGAUGGCGAAGGCAGCUUACUAAACUGCCACUGACAUUGAUGCUCGAAAGUGUGGGUAUCAAACAGGAUUAGAUACCCGGGUAGUC